rnacentral:lncRNA from 1 species
UCUUAAUGAAACGUUUUAUUCUCUCACUAUAAAUAUCAACAUCGGACAGAUAACAAUUCUUCAGCUUUAUGCAAAUUUCAUAGAAGAAAAAUAUGUUGAUUUGUCAUUUUUUCUUAUCUCAAAUUCAAGCUGCAUUUGAAAAGGUUAAAAGGCUGCAUAAUUACACUGUUAUUAAAUGUCACAUGGCCCGAUAUUGUGCAGGUUAGGCCGAGUGGCUUGUAGCUCAAGUGAUAAUUAUUUGCAACCUGCAUAUGGGAGGCCUCCAAGGAUAUUAUUAUUGAAGUACCAACCCUUUUCCUGACUUCACUGCUGUUAGUGUCAGCAAAGCCAGUGAAGCUCUGUCAUGUCUUUCCUGUUUAUUCAGUGGGUAUGGUGGUAUUUUAGCAAUAUACUUGCUUUUCAUGUAUAAUUGUAUACUUUUGAAUUUGUAUCUUCACAUAACAUUUUAAUAAUCCUUUUUAUAUGCAUAGCUCACCCAAAGUGUAUAAUAAGCCAACUUGUUAUUAACACUUUUUGGCAGAGAGAAGUUAGUGAAAGCUGAAUACUAACAAGCAGAGAAACAAAGUCACCAGUACUCUCAAUUAUUAACAGAAGUAGAAUUUAUAACCCAGAGACUUUUUGACAUAAGAUCCAGGUAGUGAAAGGUCUUAUUUUAAAAUGGCAAGAGAUUCUGAGAGCAGAAAUGCUCAAUUCCAAGUAAAGUGAUGGCAACAAUAAAAGAAAAUAAUAUAUAUAUUUAAAAAAAAUGUAUUUGGACAAGUCUGCCACUUGACCAUGGGGGAAAAACUAAUCAAUGUUACACAGUAAUUACAAGCCAUUGAAUUUUUGCCAUUUACUCAACUGCUAUAUACUGUAGGCAUUAGUGUCUUCGGUUGGAUAAGAAUAGGAGUGUUACCUGAUUUUUUAUACAGUGUAAGACGAAGGCUGCUGUUUUUAAAUCUACCACUUUCUUGUUAUGAUAUCAAGAGAGUAUCAGGGUACAGCUGAAAAGGAGAAAUCGGGCUGUUGCUUAUAUAAGAUACUAGAAAUUUAACACGACCUAAGUGUUUUCAUUUAGGAACAGCAUCAAGAUUGGGGAUUUUUACGCCUGAUAAUAUACAUCACUGUACCUCCCCAUUGUAUCUUAAAACAGAAAACUUAUGCUCCAAGUUCUGAAGAUACUUUUAUAAAUAUAUUGCUCAUACAGAGAAUCACACUAUAUCAUAAAUUACAAAUGUAACACAUGAGGAAUAUAGAUAUAAAUGAUGUAUUUUCUUUUUUUUUUUUUUUAAUUAUUUCCCCAAUAUAAUCCUUUUUUCUACUGUGCAGCAUGGUGACCCAGGUAUACAUACAUAGAUAUGUUCUAUUUUCUCACAUUAUCAUGCUCCAUAAAUGAUGUAUUUUAAACUGAUUGAAAAAUUGAAAAUAAUCUCACCAACACUGUAGAAUUUAGAAGCAUUUUGAUAGCAUUGGGUGGCCCAAAGAUCAUUUAAAAUCUAUUAAGAUUAUGUGCAUCAAAGCCUUCCUUUUCUUUUGAUCAAUUUCCUUACAGCAAGAAAAGAUGGUUACCUUAAUGCUAUGGCUGUGUCCAAAAUUUAUUUUAUGACAGUUUUUUUAAAUUAAUAAACCUUUCAAAAGUAGCUACUGUCUUUCUGUACCUUCCAUGGGACAGAGAGCCACUGCUAAGCAUUAUACAUUCUAAAUGAUGUAACCUCAAAGAAGCAGCAUGCUCUAUAUAGCAUCAAGGAGGUCAGGGGUGUGGGCCUUGGGGCCAAAUCUUGGCUCUGUUCCUUAUUAACAUGUGAACCUGGGAAAUUUACUUAAUCUCCUCUAAAGUUAGUUUCAUUAGCUUCACUGGAGUAAUUAUACCAACCCCAUGGGAUUGUUAUGAGGAUGAAAAUGGCUACAUAUAAAUGUAAGACCUGGCUGCAAUUAGGCACUAAAUAAAUGGUAGCAGUGUAGUAACAAUAUUUUGCUCAUCACUAUCCGAGGACCAGGAGAUAAAACCUCAGGUGAGAGGAGUGAAGAAAUAGUGAAAGCUUCAUCACAUCUAUUUCUUGCUUGCCCUCUGUCCUCUUUGUAUUUCUCUAUUGUAGUAAGAAGUACAAGGGGUGGAGGACACUCUGGAAUGUUGGGAAGAGCCACAGCCAGGCUUUAGGCCUAGCUCAGGAUUUCAGGGAAAUAGGUGAAGCAGAUCAUUUUGCUUACUCUCCAGGCUAGCUCACCACAGUAGUAGAGCAGAGAUGGAGUCAGAAGUUUUAGUUAGGAGUGUAGACUAUGCCUAGGGCUGCGGAGUUUUCUGCAUUGCAUUUCCCAAGGCAUCUGAGAAAAACAACCUGUGACAAGAUGGGCUGCACAUUCAGGACUCUCAUCUUAGACAAUUCUUACACCAAUUAAAUUAGUAAUUUUUAAAAGUUCUAAAACCAUGUGUAGGUGGGCAAGGGGACCUAGGUAUACUUAUACUGGAAACACUACAAAUGAGUACACUUUCAAGACAGUAGAUGGAAUGAGAAUUAGGAGAGAAACACAAAAAUAAUCAUAUUGGUCAAGACUUCCUUUAUAUUUAGGUAAAAAAAUGCAUUCUUCUAUAACUUUGAAGGACUAGGGUUGCUGACAUUAUUGAAGAUUGAGCUGUUGCCCAUCUAAGGCCUAUAUCCUACAUCUCAAGAUCCAAGAGAAAGAGAGAGCUAUCUUUCCCUCAACAACGUGGACACUAAUUGGACACAUGCUCUCCCACCAAUAAGUGAGCCACUUGUCCAGUGGAAUACAGGACAACGAGAGACUUGCCAGUGAAGGUGGAUACCAUGAAUGACCACACUCUCCAGGUGACUCUCCACCUCAGGCACUCCUCAAAGUAAAGAGGAGGGUGGCACCAGAUGACAGUGCAUGGGAAAGAAUCCUGCACAAAAUAAAAGUCAGCAUAAUUCAGCAUUUUAGUCAUGCCCAUGGCAGUGAGACUAUUUUUCCUGAGAUUAUAUCCUAAGAAGUAAGUUGAAACAGGGGUGGGCGCAGGUUUGUGUGAUUACUAUGCCAACACAUUGUAGGUGUGUAUGUUUCAACAGAAUAAAAACAACCUGGAAAUGGUCCACAGGUUCAAACACUGAGGAAAGGUAAAGGUACUUUGGAGUAUGGUAAUAAUAAGCCAUUUCAUUCAAUUCAAUGUAUUAAAUAUCAACAAUGUGAUAGUGGUAAUACAAGAAUGGAUAAGACAUGGGCCCUCCCAACCCCUAAAUGGUCACUACGUAGUGUUAUUGAUAAUAGAAAUGGGCAUUUUUGAGUACCUCCUAGUUGAUGGGCUGUGUGUCAGGAGCUGCAUUGUUAUACAAUCCUUUGAGCAAUAUUUUGAGAUAGGCACUUUUCUUCUAUCCAUUUUAUAGAGGAUGAAACUGAUUUUAACUUCUUUAAAUGUAUAUGGUUAAUAAAUGAUGAAAAUAGGACUCCACCCCAGGUUUUCUAAUCCCAAAGUUCACACAGUAAUAGGGUUUUACAAUAAAAUUCUAGGAGUUCCCAUCGUGGAUCAGCGGAAACGAAUCUGACUAGUAUCCAUGAGGAAGCAGGUUCAAUCCCUGGCCUCACUCAGUGGGUUAAGAAUUCAGCGUUACCGUGAACUGUGGUAUAGGUCAUAGAUGCAGCUUAGAUCUGGCAUUGCUGUGGCUCUGGUGUAGGCCAGCGGCUACAGAUCCUAUUCGACCCCUAGCCUGGGAACCUCCAUAUAGUGCAGGUGCGGCCCUAAAAAGACAAAAUAAAAAUAAAAUUCUAUAUGAACACAAAGAGAAUGACUAUUUUAUAGCUUCAACGAGUUAUAAUUUAACAUGCAAUAAGCUGAAUACACUUAAAAGUAUAUAAAGUAUAAACUUGAUAAGCUUUGAAAUGCACCUGUAAAGCCAUCUGAUCGCUUCUCUGUAAUUAUAAAGUGCAAUUUCUAGAGUUUUAGAUUUGCUUGACUUCUUUGACUCAGCCUGAUUAUAUUGAAAUUCAUCCAUAGUGUUGUAUAUAUAAAAAUCUGAGUUCUUUUUACUGCUGAAUAGUAUUCCAUUGUUUGGAUAGACCACAAAAUAUUUAUCCACUCACCUGCUGAAGGAUUUCGAGAUCUUUUCAGUUUUAGGCUAUUACAAAUAAAACUAUGAAUGGUCUUAUGCAAGUCUUUGUAUGGACACAAGCUUUCAUUUCUCUUGGGUGAAUAUACCUAGGAGUGGAAAGGCAGGAUUCUAUGGUUAUAAUAAAAUUAUAUAAUUUUUAAGUUAAACUUUAUUAUUUUAAGGUAAUUGGAGAUUCGAAUGCAGUUGCAAAAAAAUGCAAAUAUCCUGUGUUUACUCAGUUUUCUCCCAAUAAUAAAUCUUGCAAAGCUAUACUAUAAUAUCAAAACCAGGAUAUUGGAGUUACUGUCAUAGCUCAGCAGUAAUGAACCCAACUAGUAUCCAUGAGACCUCGGGUUCAAUCCCUGACCUCGCUCAGUGGGCUAAAGAUCUGGAGUUGCUGUGAGUUGCAGUGUAGGUCACAGACGCGGCUCAGAUCCCGCAUUACUGUGGCUGUGGUGUAGGCCAGCAGCUAUAGCUCUGAAUCAGCCCCUAGUCUGGGAACUUCCAUGUGCCACGGGUGUAGCCCUAAAAAGACACAGCAAAACAACAACAACAAACACCCACCAGGAUAUUGACAUUAAGAAGGUCAAAAUACAUAAUGUUUCUAUCACCACAAGGAUUCUUGAUUUUGUCCUUUUAUAGCUACAUUCAUUUCCCUCCUUAACCAAACACUAAUUAGUUCUCCAUUUCUAGAAUUCAUUUCAAGAAUACUAUAUAAAUGGAAUAAUACAGUAUGUAGCCAUGGGGGUUAGCAAUUUUUACGCAGAAUAAUUCUCUGGAGAUUUAUCCUGGUUGCUGUAUAUAUCAAUAAUUCAUUCCUUUUUAUUGUUAAGCUGUAUUCCAUGAUAUGGAUUAACCACAGUUUGUUUAACCACAUUGUUUCCAAUUUUUGCCUGUUACAAAAAGGCUGCUAUAUACACUCAUGUACAAAUACUGAUAUGAACAUACUUCUUCAUUUUUCUGGGAUAAAUAUCCAUGUAAUAAUUGCACAUGUAUAUUCUUUUUUUUCAUAACACCCCCAAAUUUGGUUCAAAUGCCCAAGUCAUAAAUGGAUAAACAAAUUGUAGCACAUCCAUUUAAUGGACUAGUAUACAAUAUAAAAAGGAAUAAACUGAAUACAGCAACACUCAAAAGAUUAUGAUAUAUGAAAGAAUCCAGAUAUAAAAGGUGAUAAUGUUUCACAAAAGGCAAGAAUAUAUAGGGCCAGAAAAUAUAUUAAUUAUUCCAAAGGCCUAGGGAUGAAGUAAAGGGCUUUACCUCAGGAGGAGGAGAACUUUCAGGGAUAAUGGAAAUGGAAAAUUUUAUAGUAAUGUAUGUGUUUGUCAAAACUCACAAAUCAUACACCUUAAAAGAAUAAAAUUUAUUGGAUAUAAAUUAUAUGUCAAUAAAUCUGAAAAAAAUGUAAUCAGUUUUUGCUAUGGCAGUUGCAACUAAUUUAAAUUUGCAUCCCACAUUAUGAGAACACCUGUGCUUCUAUAUCCUGCUAAUAAGAGUAAUAUUAAACAAAGUUUUAAAUCUUUGUUAAUCUUAUAGGUUAGAAAAUAGUAUCCCAUUGCUUAUUUAACAUGUACCUUUUAUUUUCUGGAUGAGCAUUUAUUUUCACUCUUAGUAUUUUUUAUAUAUGAAAUGACAUUUUUUUUAAUGUUAGCACCUGUGGCAUAUGGACGUUCCUGAGCCAGGGAUUGAAUCUGAGCAGCAGCUGUGACUUAUGCCCAAGCUGCAACCUAUGCCACAGCUGCAGCAACACCGGAUCCUUUCACCCACUGCACCUUGCCAGGGAUUGAACCCACACCUCUGCAGUGGCCUGAGCCACUGCAGUUGGGUCUUUAACCCACUGUGCCACAGUGGGAACUCCUGAAAAAACUUUUCAUAUAAUUUCCCAUAUUUCUAUUGUUGGUGUCCAUCUUUUCCUACUGAGUUAUAAAAAGAACUUAAUGUGGAAUUUUAAAUGAAACUUUGUAAUGUACCUUCAGAUGUUUUUGCCAAUAUGCGUUAACUUUACUAUAUACAGUUUUCAUGGAAAUGUUACUAAUUUUAAACAGUCAGAUUUAUUUAUUCUUUUCCUUUAUAUAAUCCUGGUUUUAUAUCACACUAAGACAAGCUAUUCAUACUUCAAGAUUUCAUAUAGUAAUCUAUGUUUUCUUCUAGUACCUUAUGGAAUCAUUUUUACUGUAACAUAUAGCUUCAUGCAGAAUUUAUUUUGGUAUAAGUUGUCUGAACAUGACUUAUUUGAAGAAUCUGUCUUUUCCCCACUAAUGCCACAUAGUCAUAUACUAAACUUUCAUACCUAUUAGACCUCAUUUGUGGAUUAUAUUUUGUUUCAUUAAUGUUUUUAUUCAUAUGUGAUAAUUAUCCAUUAAUUGUUGGUAAUAUUCACAACCUUGCCCUAAGAAAGGAGUAUGCAUCUAUCCAUCUUCUAUUUGCAUUUUAUCACAAGAAAGCUAAGUGAUUUCUCAGCUUAGUAUUUUAAUAAGUCCUAUGCAAAGUGUAUCUUUCAAAUACACAAUUUUAUAUCCAUUACUGAGUGUUAUAUUUAUAUUAGAUCAAAAUAAUAACUCUGGGAGUUCCCGUCGUGGCGCAGUGGUUAACGAAUCCGACUAGGAACCAUGAGGUUGCGGGUUCGAUCCCUGCCCUUGCUCAGUGGGUUAACGAUCCGGCGUUGCCGUGAGCUGUGGUGUAGGUCGCAGAGUCGGCUCGGAUCCCGAGUUGCUGUGGCUCUGGCAUAGGCUGGCAGCUACAGCUCCUAUUAGACCCCUAGCCUGGGAAACUCCAUAUGCCGCGGGAGUGGCCCAAGAAAUAGCAAAAAGACAAAAAAAAAAAAAACAAAAAAAAAAAAA